UUCUCCUAGUAGCCAUGUUAUUAUUACACAAAGGUUGCACUAAGUUGAAGGUUGAAGGCUUAUAUAUACAGGCAUUUAGAAAGAGAUGGAAAAGAGAAUGUGCAAGAAAAAUUUACCAUCCUAUUGAUGCUUGUGAUGAAGCAUAGCGAAGCCUCCCCCAUGCUUAAGCAUUGUGCUUAGUAUGGAAGAACAACAAUGAGCAUCUUUUGGCGGUCAUAAUCCUUAUACUCCAUGUGUUAUUUCCAUAUUUAUCCAGCAAGUCUUCCCCCAUGCUUAGCAUUUUACUAGGCAUGGAAGAAGAAGACAGAACAUCUUGUGAUCAUCCUUGAUGUUGUCUUUUAUAGUCCAUCAUGGUUCCCUUCUAACAUCUUUGUCUGUUAAAUGUUUCAUAUCCGUGUUUCCAUGUGAAAAUGCUCUCGAGGGUGUGAUUCCAUCCUAAGCUUUAGAAUUUCGUCAUGUAUGCUCAAUGGAAGCAUUGCCCAAGCUUCUCUUCAUUGUCGUCAUCUUCAUCUCCCCUGUUUAGCUAUCAUCAUCUUGCAACCACCUUUUCUUCAAGGAUUUUCCCCUGCAUCCAGAACACAACAUAUACCAAAGUAUAAUCUAUUGAAAUGCGUAUGAAAUUACCUUUCCAAUGAGUGAUUGUUCGUAAAAAAUUGAAGUUCAUAUGAGAGUUAUGCCCAUUUUAUUUCAGCACAGCGCUGUCCAGAACUGAUUUCAGGACGUGCGAUGUUCGAUGAUUUGGCCAUAACCGCUUGUAGGAACCUCCACAUGCCUUGCCACUUGGUCAUUGGAAAGAAGACUUCAUAGGAUUUCUGAAUAUCAAAAAUUUUCUAUUGUUUACCUCUAAAUAGGUGAUGCAAAUUUUUAAUGACAACAAUAGCUUCGAGUGCAUCUCUCUAGAGAUGUUGAUGAUCUUGAUCUUGUGGUCUUUAGGGCACCAUGUCGCGCAUCCUUCAGCUUCAAGGUCAUCACCGUUGCUGCACCAAUAAUUAACAUGGUGGAAAUAGUGCUUAUUCUCCAUAGUUCUUGCUUUUACCAAGGUGAUGGGAUCACAAUAGGCUUUAGUGCUUCGUAUUGACGAUUUGGUUGGUUUUCUUCCUUGGUCACACCUCUUACUAACCGUAGAACUUAAUGAACAUCCCACGGGAGAAUAUUGGUGGUGCCUCGGUGCUUCGAAUUUUGUUGCCUCCAAAUCUGAUUACCAUCGAAUCAUAUCCCUCUUAUUUAUCAUCUUUUUUUUAUCGUGAGAGCAUCUUUAUCAUGCCUGCAAAACAAUUCACGUGCACAUACUACCCCCUAGGUGAUGAUUGGGAGUAGAAACAAUUGCCAAUAAACCAACAACGCA
rnacentral:lncRNA from 1 species